GGAGAGGUGCCAGAGUGGUCGAAUGGGGCUCCCUGCUAAGGAGUUGUACGCAUUGCGCGUACCGGGGGUUCGAAUCCCUUCCUCUCCGCAA
rnacentral:tRNA from 1 species